rnacentral:lncRNA from 1 species
AUGGCAUGGUUUCAUCUUGGGGGCAUGUUUAUAUCAUGGUGCCAUCUUGGGGACAUGUUUAUAUCAUGGUGCCAUCUUGGGGACAUGUUUAUAUCAUGGUGUCAUCAUGGGAGCAUGUUAAUAUCAUGGUGCCAUCUUGGGGACAUGUUUAUAUCAUGGUGCCAUCUUGGGGACAUGUUUAUAUCAUGGUGUCAUCAUGGGAGCAUGUUAAUAUCAUGGUGCCAUCUUGGGGACAUGUUUAUAUCAUGGUGCCAUCUUGGGGACAUGCUUAUAUCAUGGUGCCAUCAUGGGAGCAUGUUAAUAUCAUGCUGCCAUCUUGGGGACAUGUUUAUAUCAUGGUGUCAUCUUGAGAGCAUGUUUAUAUCAUGUUACCAUCAUGGGAGCAUGAUAAUAUCAUGGAGCCAUCUUGGGGACAUGUUUAUAUCAUGGUGCCAUCUUGGGGACAUGUUUAUAUCAUGUUGCCAUCAUGGGAGCAUGAUAAUAUCAUGGUGCCAUCAUGGGAGCAUGUUAAUAUCAUGCUGCCAUCUUGGGGACAUGUUUAUAUCAUGGUGUCAUCUUGAGAGCAUGUUUAUAUCAUGUUGCCAUCAUGGGAGCAUGAUAAUAUCAUGGAGCCAUCUUGGGGACAUGUUUAUAUCAUGGUGCCAUCUUGGGGACAUGUUUAUAUCAUGUUGCCAUCAUGGGAGCAUGAUAAUAUCAUGGAGCCAUCUUGGGGACAUGUUUAUAUCAUGGUGCCAUCUUGGGGACAUGUUUAUAUCAUGGUGCCAUCUUGGGGGCAUGUUUAUAUCAUGGUGCCAUCUUGAGAGCAUGUUUAUAUCAUGGUGCCAUCUUGGGAGCAUGUUUAUAUCAUGGUGCCAUCUUGGGAGCAUGUUUAUAUCAUGGUGCCAUCUUGGGAGCAUGUUUAUAUCAUGGUGCCAUCUUGGGAGCAUGUUUAUAUCAUGGUGCCAUCAUGGGAGCAUGUUUAUAUCAUGGUGCCAUCUUGGGAGCAUGCUUAUAUCAUGGUGCCAUCUUGGGAGCAUGUUUAUAUCAUGGUGCCAUCUUGGGAGCAUGUUUAUAUCAACGUGCCAUCUUGGGAGCAUGUUUAUAUCAUGGUGUCAUCUUGAGAGCAUGUUUAUAUCAUGGUGCCAUCUUGGGGGCAUGUUUAUAUCAUGGUGCCAUCUUGGGGACAUGUUUAUAUCAUGGUGCCAUCUUGGGGACAUGUUUAUAUCAUGGUGUCAUCAUGGGAGCAUGUUAAUAUCAUGGUGCCAUCUUGGGGACAUGUUUAUAUCAUGGUGCCAUCUUGGGGACAUGUUUAUAUCAUGGUGCCAUCAUGGGAGCAUGUUAAUAUCAUGCUGCCAUCUUGGGGACAUGUUUAUAUCAUGGUGUCAUCUUGGGAGCAUGUUAUUAUCAUGUUGCCAUCAUGGGAGCAUGAUAAUAUCAUGGAGCCAUCUUGGGGACAUGUUUAUAUCAUGGUGCCAUCUUGGGGACAUGUUUAUAUCAUGUUGCCAUCAUGGGAGCAUGAUAAUAUCAUGGUGCCAUCUUGGGAGCAUGUUUAUAUCAUGGUGCCAUCUUGAGAGCAUGUUUAUAUCAUGGUGCCAUCUUGGGAGCAUGUUUAUAUCAUGGUGCCAUCUUGGGAGCAUGUUUAUAUCAUGGUGCCAUCUUGGGAGCAUGUUUAUAUCAUGGUGCCAUCUUGUGGACAUGUUUAUAUCAUGGUGUCAUCUUGAGAGCAUAUUAUUAUCAUGUUGCCAUCAUGGGAGCAUGAUAAUAUCAUGGAGCCAUCUUGGGGACAUGAUUAUAUCAUGGUGCCAUCUUGGGGACAUGUUUAUAUCAUGUUGCCAUCAUGGGAGCAUGAUAAUAUCAUGGUGCCAUCUUGGGGACAUGUUUAUAUCAUGGUGCCAUCUUGUGGACAUGUUUAUAUCAUGGUGCCAUCUUGGGGGCAUGUUUAUAUCAUGGUGCCAUCUUGGGAGCAUGUUUAUAUCAUGGUGCCAUCUUGAGAGCAUGUUUAUAUCAUGGUGCCAUCUUGGGAGCAUGUUUAUAUCAUGGUGCCAUCUUGGGAGCAUGUUUAUAUCAUGGUGCCAUCUUGGGAGCAUGUUUAUAUCAUGGUGCCAUCUUGUGAGCAUGUUUAUAUCAUGGUGCCAUCAUGGGAGCAUGUUUAUAUCAUGGUGCCAUCUUGGGAGCUUGUUUAUAUCAUGGUGCCAUCUUGGGAGCAUGUUUAUAUCAUGGUGCCAUCUUGAGAGCAUGUUUAUAUCAUGGUGCCAUCUUGGGAGCAUGUUUAUAUCAUGGUGCCAUCUUGGGAGCAUGUUUAUAUCAUGGUGCCAUCUUGGGAGCAUGUUUAUAUCAUGGUGUCAUCUUGAGAGCAUGUUUAUAUCAUGGUGCCAUCUUGGGAGCAUGUUUAUAUCAUGGUGCCAUCUUGGGGACAUGUUUAUAUCAUGGUGCCAUCUUGGGGACAUGUUUAUAUCAUGGUGUCAUCAUGGGAGCAUGUUAAUAUCAUGGUGCCAUCUUGGGGACAUGUUUAUAUCAUGGUGCCAUCUUGGGGACAUGUUUAUAUCAUGUUGCCAUCAUGGGAGCAUGAUAAUAUCAUGGUGCCAUCUUGGGGACAUGUUUAUAUCAUGGUGCCAUCUUGGGGACAUGUGUAUAUCAUGGUGCCAUCUUGGGGGCAUGUUUAUAUCAUGGAGUCAUCUUGAGAGCAUGUUUAUAUCAUGGUGCCAUCUUGGGAGCAUGUUUAUAUCAUGGUGCCAUCUUGAGAGCAUGUUUAUAUCAUGGUGCCAUCUUGGGAGCAUGUUUAUAUCAUGGUGCCAUCUUGGGAGCAUGUUUAUAUCAUGGUGCCAUCUUGGGAGCAUGUUUAUAUCAUGGUGCCAUCUUGGGAGCAUGUUUAUAUCAUGGUGCCAUCAUGGGAGCAUGUUUAUAUCAUGGUGCCAUCUUGGGAGCAUGCUUAUAUCAUGGUGCCAUCUUGGGAGCAUGUUUAUAUCAUGGUGCCAUCUUGGGAGCAUGUUUAUAUCAACGUGCCAUCUUGGGAGCAUGUUUAUAUCAUGGUGCCAUCUUGGGAGCAUGUUUAUAUCAUGGUGCCAUCUUGAGAGCAUGUUUAUAUCAUGGUGCCAUCUUGGGAGCAUGUUUAUAUCAUGGUGCCAUCAUGGGAGCAUGUUUAUAUCAUGGUGCCAUCUUGGGAGCAUGUUUAUAUCAUGGUGCCAUCUUGAGAGCAUGUUUAUAUCAUGGUGCCAUCUUGGGAGCAUGUUUAUAUCAUGGUGCCAUCUUGGGAGCAUGUUUAUAUCAUGGUGCCAUCUUGGGAGCAUGUUUAUAUCAUGGUGCCAUCUUGGGAGCAUAUUUAUUUGCUGA